rnacentral:misc_RNA from 1 species
AACGCAUAUUGCGCUCUCUGGUAUUCCGGAGAGCAUGCUUGUUUGAGUAUCAGUAAACACCUCAAACCCCAAGAUUUUUUUUUUUUUUGGGAUUUGGAUUUGAGUGAUCCUAACGAGAAAGACAUUUCAUGUCGAUUUUGGCAGGCCACUUGAAAUUCAGGUGCAGCUGAACAUUCUUCUGAGCUAAAAGCAUAUUUAUUUAGUCUUGUUGACUCUUUUUUCAAAGGAGUGAUCGGAUUAUUACUUUUGCUGCAGCUAACAUAAAGGUUGAAUGCUUUCAAAUGCUGACUGAUGCAGGAAUUUCUCAGUUUCUAAACAAAACUGUUAAACUCGAUCUCAAAUCAAGUAAGACUACCCGCUGAACUUAA